rnacentral:piRNA from 1 species
UCAGUGUCUGACGUCAGUUGUUUUCCAG